UAAGGAAUAUUGGUCAAUGGACGCAAGUCUGAACCAGCCAUGCCGCGUGAAGGAUUAAGGUCCUCUGGAUUGUAAACUUCUUUUAUAUGGGACGAAAACAGAUCUUUCUAGAUCCUUUGACGGUACCAUAUGAAUAAGCACCGGCUAACUCCGUGCCAGCAGCCGCGGUAAUACGGAGGGUGCAAGCGUUAUCCGGAUUCACUGGGUUUAAAGGGUGCGUAGGCGGGUAGGUAAGUCAGUGGUGAAAUCCUGGAGCUCAACUCCAGAACUGCCAUUGAUACUAUCUAUCUUGAAUAUUGUGGAGGUAAGCGGAAUAUGUCAUGUAGCGGUGAAAUGCUUAGAUAUGACAUAGAACACCCAUUGCGAAGGCAGCUUACUACGCAUAUAUUGACGCUGAGGCACGAAAGCGUGGGGAUCAAACAGG
rnacentral:rRNA from 1 species